rnacentral:rRNA from 1 species
UACGUAGGGUCCGAGCGUUGUCCGGAAUUAUUGGGCGUAAAGGGCUCGUAGGCGGUCUGUUGCGUCGGGAGUGAAAAUUCACAGCUUAACUGUGAACUUGCUUCCGAUACGGGCAGACUUGAGGUAUUCAGGGGAGAACGGAAUUCCUGGUGGUAGCGGUGAAAUGCGCAGAUAUCGGGAGGAACACCAGUAGCGAAGGCGGCACUCUGGGCCGGAACUGGACGC